UACAGAGGGGGCAAGCGUUGUUCGGAAUUACUGGGCGUAAAGGGCGCGUAGGCGGCCUGCUAAGUUGAACGUGAAAUCCCUGGGCUCAACCCAGGAACUGCGUCCAAGACUGGGAGGCUUGAAUCCGGGAGAGGGAUGCGGAAUUCCAGGUGUAGCGGUGAAAUGCGUAGAUAUCUGGAGGAACACCGGUGGCGAAGGCGGCAUCCUGGACCGGGAUUGACACUGAGGCGCGAAAGCCAGGGGAGCAAACGGG
rnacentral:rRNA from 1 species